UCGAAAAAAGAUAAACAACGUUUUGGCGCUCUUUACUGUGACGUGACAGAACGCCUCAGUUUAAACGGCAGCGCGAGAGAACAUGAACAGAUCAUCCCUUCCGCUUUACGUUACAGCACGAAAUAAAUAUAAUGAACAUCAGAAGAUCCAGGUGAAGUCUAAAGCACAGCUGCCACACCGUUGCUGAAACUGACUGUGAGGAUGCAAAACGAGACUAAUUACAAGAUCGAUGGAGAAUGGGAACCAGGAACAAUGGAGAACCGCUAGAAGAUCGCUGGGAGUCUGAAAAGGUAAGCACAUACAGGUAAGUGCACAAAAGGUCUGGGAACUGUUCAGGGUAGUGAACAGUAGACCAGACAGUGAGUGACUGGGUUCAGUGUGUUCUUGUAGGGAGGCUUGACUGGAGACAUCAGGUGCGGGUGAUAGAAUCCUGGUGAUAGGGAUCUUGACUGAUGACUGAGAUAGCUGACUGGAACCAGGUGUGAGCAGGGGAGGAUUCUGGGAAAUGGAGUCCAGGGCAGGUGACUGGUGACAGGGAACUCGUGACAUAUAUAUAUAU